ensembl:lncRNA
GUCAGGACACAGAUCAGUGUGUUAGUGAUGUAGGGUGUGUCAGGACACAGAUCAGUGUGUUAGUGAUGUAGGGCGUGUCAGGACACAGAUCAGUGUGUUAGUGAUGUAGGGCGUGUCAGGACACAGAUCAGUGUGUUAGUGAUGUAGGGCGUGUCAGGACACAGAUCAGUGUGUUAGUGAUGUAGGGCGUGUCAGGACACAGAUCAGUGUGUCAGUGAGGUAGGGUGUGUCAGGACACAGAUCAGUGUGUUAGUGAUGUAGGGAGUGUCAGGACACAGAUCAGUGUGUUAGUGAUGUAGGGUGUGUCAGGACACAGAUCAGUGUGUUAGUGAUGUAGGGCGUGUCAGGACACAGAUCAGUGUGUUAGUGAUGUAGGGAGUGUCAGGACACAGAUCAGUGUGUUAGUGAUGUAGGGAGUGUCAGGACACAGAUCAGUGUGUUAGUGAUGUAGGGUGUGUCAGGACACAGAUCAGUGUGUUAGUGAUGUAGGGUGACAGUGUCAGGACACAGAUCAGUGUGUUAGUGAUGUAGGGCGUGUCAGGACACAGAUCAGUGUGUUAGUGAUGUAGGGUGUGUCAGGACACAGAUCAGUGUGUUAGUGAUGUAGGGCGUGUCAGGACACAGAUCAGUGUGUUAGUGAUGUAGGGCGUGUCAGGACACAGAUCAGUGUGUUAGUGACUAUUGAAAACAUUCUGCAGUAGCCAUCAUGAUUUCCUGACUUUACGUAUCUUCUGUGUGCUAAUAGUGCAAGCUGACAGCCAUAGAUGUUGUGGGGUUUUGUACGCUCGAUUUACUGAAUUUGAAAUGAUUCAAAUGUAUUAUUGGAAUGUUUUUAUUGUUCAGGCAAUGCUUUGGUAGGUGCAAAUAUCACGUUAGAUGUUGCCUUUUAUUUCAACAUGAAGUCGCAGAGGGUUUAAAUUAUGUUUUGUAGAUAUUUACAUGUUUAUAUUAUCACACACACUUCUGCAUGAAUAUGACUUAAAACUAAGGACCACUGAAUCAUUAAUAUAAAGAUGGUCAUCUAAAUAGAAUUUCAGUGCAGGCUACUAAGGUAGGCUUGAAACCACUUGGAUUUAGAAUUAAAGGUACUACGCAUGUAUGUGUGUAAUUUCACAAAAUGUCCAUAAUAUAUCUGCACCAAUAGUGGAAUGAUAGUGUUUAACAGGAUUACUUAACCGAUAGUGUUGUGAUUGGCUGUGAUGUUUUUGUUUGUCUCCCACCAGAGAGGGAAUCUGUUGUAAGAAAAACCGGGAAAGUUGUUUUGACUUUGUGGCUGUGUUAUCUAGUAACAUUCCACACAAGUAGGAAUUUCCUGGUUGCAAAAAUUCAAUUUCAGUUUAGUGUAGGGAAUCAUUGUACCAUCUAAAUCACUGUGAACUAUCUUUUCAAUAACAAAAAAAAAAAAAAACAUUUUUGAAGCUGGUGGAUCAAAACCGAAAGUUAAAGGCUCAGGCGUCAGUCUCCAUCAUGUUACAGGGAAGUAGAAUGCAGAGGAGGGGGAGAUUUGUUUUGAAUGCAGCAUAAAGCUGUUGCAGUUCCCCCAGCUUCCACACGGGGGAGAAAUUCAGAAUGUAGCACCUUUAACUUCUUCUUAUAUCUGCAUGAACAGACAAACCACUCAUGUUGUCAGCUUUGGCUCAAGGAUCACGCUACUCUAGCUAUAUUUAACAUAACCUCAUAUGCUCUUCAAGGCUACUGCUAUUGUCUGCUUGAGUACUGCAUUUAAUCACCAUUAAGUACUCAAUACACUGUAGAGUGCAUACCUUCUGUAACUACACGUAACAAAAAAUAAUAGUGCACUAGUUAACUAUGUAUAAUGUAUAUAUACUAAUCUACUUCCCACUCCUUACUGGCCUGAUAUUGACUACACUAUCUAGCUAAGUCCCUCUCCUUACUGGGCUAAACUAGCUGGCUAGCUGAACUUGGCUAGUUUUAGUCCUCAUUGCCAAACUUCAUAUAUACUGCACCCUCAACUUCAAAACUCUUUUGCUAGUUAUUGGAACCAUGACAACGGGCAGCCCCUCCCCGCUUAGCUCUGAACGUUUCUGACUGGUCUUGGAACCAUGACAACGGGCAGCCCCUCCCCGCUUGGCUCGAUGGGAUAUGUAGUGAUUUUGCCAACACAGCCAGAUAUGUACGGUCUUGUACCCUUAACCUUUUUUUAAAGUGACUAUUUGUUGAUUAAAUCAGACUUUAUUAAUACCAGGAAUGAACAAGUUAAUUUACAUAAAAAAAUAAUCAUUAUAAAGCAACUGUACAGAGUGCCAAUGGCUACAAUGAAUGGUUAAAUGACUCAGGCACGAAGGAUUAACAGAGCUCCUCCUCGCCUUCUCUAUAGCCCUAGUGGUGACAGAGUCCAUGAUUUUUCGAGUCGACUCCUGGUAUCAGAGUCGUUGGAGUCGACUCUCUCGACAAUGCUCUAAACCAGGGGUAUUCAAAUCUUACCAUACGAAGUCUGGCGCCUGCUGGUUUUCUGUUCUACCUGAUAUUCAAUUGCGCCCACCUGGUGUCCCAGGUCUAAAUCAGUCCCUGAUUAAAAAACGCAGUGGAACGGGCUUCGGGGUCCAGAGUUGCGUUUGAGGGCUCUAAAUAAUGCUGUGUAACUGACUGUCUACAAUUCGAACAAUAUUCUACAUUCUAAAAGUUGGCCCAACAGUCUAAAUAUAUGGCUAUUAGACCGAGACAGUGUUAACCAGGUGGUAUUGCAUUACUAUAUUGAUGGUGGUAGACAAUGGUGUGCAGUGGUGGGCUCUUGCAAUGAUGGUAAAACAUCAGUAGGCUACAUUUUGGUUUGAAUAAACAGAAAGGCUUCAACGCACAGUAAAUGUUUUACACUUACGGCAAGCAAUGUGUCAGAACAUGCAGCAGUAGGCAGCAGCAGCAGUAGGCAGUAGCUGUAGGCGGCGGCAAUAGCUGUAGGCGGCGGCAGUUGUAGUAGGCGGUGUCAGUAGUAGUAGGCGGCGGCAGUAGUAGUAGGCGGCGGCAGUAGGCGGCGGCAGCAGUAGGCAGCGGCAGUAGGCGGCAGCAGUAGGCGGGCGGCAGCAGUAGGCAGUAGGCGGCAGCAGUAGGCGGCGGCAGCAGUAGGCGGCAGUAGGCAGUAGGCGGCAGCAGUAGGCGGCGGCAGCAGUAGGCGGCAGCAGCAGUAGGCGGCGGCAGUAGGCGGCGGCAGUAGGCGGCGGCAGUAGGCGGCAGCAGCAGUAGGUGGCAGCAGCAGUAGGCAGCAGCAGUAGGUGGCGGCGGCAGUAGGCGGCGGCAGUAGGCAGCAGGAUACACUUUUUAUAGCCACUUCCUAUUCUGUGGCACACUUCACCAUUAAUUACUUCUGUUGCUGGUUGACAAUAGUGCUUUAUUUGAUAUGUUGAUAUGUACAGUACUUUCUGUUAGAGGUUUCUUAUUUUCUCAGUUUAUAUUAAAUAUGAUUUUAUAUUCAAGCUUUUGUUUACUGUUUGUUUUAUAAUAGUCAUGUUUAUUAUUUUCUUACUUGUAUUUAAAGUAUGUGUUACUUUGUUACUGAGGGGAGAACAGCACAGUAGUGUAUUUGAUGUGAGAACAGUGCCUGAAGCUCAUAGGAACUACUGUAAACCACUGCUUUAGCAUUCUCUACUGCUGUGAAGGACCUUAUAAAACCAUAUGAGGGAUUUAUUGAUGUGUACUGUGAACAUUAGUGCAAUUAAAAAUCACUGUUCAAAUUGAUUUCUGAUUUCUGAUUUUUCUUAAUUAAAAAAAUAUGAACUAUAAAGUAUUUAAUUUGAAUAUGAAUAUAAUAUUAUGGCCAUGCAUAAUUGAUCAGGACAAUUCCCUUUUAUUGUGAACAAACAUCAGUAGCACAAACAAUUGUAGCACAAACAAUUGAAAACACUGAAAUGAAUGUUAAUGUUAUGUAGGCUUGAUUACCAACAACGACGAGACGGCCUACAGGGAGGAGGUGAGGGCCCUCGGAGUGUGG